GAGCAUCCCUUGAUGUGUGAGUCCAUUUGGACGGACUCCCGGAAGUGCUGCAUCCACUCUCCACUGUGGUCAAGGGCAAGGAGGCGGGCAUGAAGGGCUUCUAAGAUCUUGGUUCCUUUGGCAACAUCAGAGAUGGACAGCACUGCUGAAACCACCUGGCCCCUCCCACUGCACUUGGCCUUGCUCACGGAGAAGCCUUACUGAGCCUCAGCCCCUGCAGAUCCACGGGAGAUUGCCUGGGGGAUUAAGUGGACGAUGUGUCCGAUGGGAAUCCACACGGAUGGGAAAAGAGGAGAGAUGACAACACACAGGACUGGAAGCAGCAAAGCUGGCGGACGGUGCACUUGGCUGGAGCCAAACUGGAGGCAGCAGCGUUGAAGCAGAAAACCAACCUCGGAGUUCCCCGAAGUCUCGUGAACUGGCACCCACAGGUUCCUUUGGAUCAGUUAGCUACCCACAGAGGAGGAACAUAAAUAGAAGCAGGCUUUGGUGGAAGUUGUCUGAGAUGGAACUAGAUCCCUCGAUCCCUCAUCCACUCUGCGACACUAGGUGACCCCCUCCCCUCCCCUUUCCCUGGAGUGGGGGUGCUUAGCACUGGCGGUUGACAGGCUCGGUGAGGGCCAUUCCACAUAGGUGAUGAA